GCUCUCGUCUGUAUUUCCGCCGGCGCGAAACGAGCGUAGCUUCCUUGUCGUGUGGCCUCAGUCCUUCGCCGUCCCUCGCCGUCCUUCGCCAUCGCACGCCACCGCACCCCAUCUCUCGAAAUCUGCAGACAUCUUGAUUUUUCCCACGCUGUCUGUCAGGUCUCCGCCGCCACUCGACGCCAGGGCGCCGGGUGAGUCCACAGCAGGGCGCAUGGUCGGCUCCACUCUCACCAUCGGGGGAAACUGAGGCCCCGGGGAAGGCGGCCAGAGAGGUCAGGCCCUGUCCUUGGUGCAGUGUCUCGUCCUCUUUGCCGGAGUGAGCCCCCCAGGAUUCGCGUGUCCUCGGGAAAGACACUGGCAGGCCUUGUGGGCUGUGCUGCACCUCGGACGGCUUCGCACCAGCCAGCGCCCUCUCUCUCCUGCAGCACUCUGAUCUGCACCCCCUGAGGGGCUUCCACUGUCCGCGGGGUGAGAAUGCCCCUGGGAGUGUCACAUGACUGCCGCCCCAUGUGUGUGAGAGGCGUCCUCUGGGAGAGCAUGGAUCCUGAGGUCCCAGGAUUGUCAGCUGACCUCUGUCCUGUGUGCCCAGUGGCCCCAGGUGACGUGUCUUCAAGAAGAGGCUGAGCUGCGGUGCUUGUAAGAGUCAUGUGCUGUUCCUGGGGCUUGGAUGAUGUAGGGGAAGCAAGGUGAAAGUGGUAUCCCGUGGUUCCACGUUCUGUCCUGCUGUGGGGCUGUCCCUCACAUGCUUUCAGUGGCUGUUGCAGAGGAAGAGCCUCCGGAAAUCUGCGUGGGUAAAGUCUCAGCCUUAGAUCCAAGGACAGUCCAAGGAAGUCCUAAGACCAUGGAGUUGGUGAUCUGGGAUCUGGGUUUGCUGAUAUUUCUCACCGUGAAUCUCUUGGUGGUGUUUGUGGGCACGAGAGGGGCAGAGAAUGGAGAGUGAGGCUACCACAUGAAGCGUCACCAGAGCUGCUCCCUGCUGCCUGCUCAGAGCACCCCGGAUCCACUGUUCAAUCUGCACAAGAUUCGGGGUCCAGACAUGGGAGACUUCAGCUGCCUCAGAGGACCGUGGACAGGGAAGGCCAGCCUCGCAUCCCUCUGUCCAUGCCUGGAAUGACUUUAAUAACCAAGAGUUUUAUUUUUGAAUUUGUAGCUGUCGUUCACUUUUUACCCACCCAUUCAAUAAACCUUACAGAAUUGCUCCA
rnacentral:lncRNA from 1 species